GACGAACGCUGGCGGCGUGCUUAACACAUGCAAGUCGAACGCUGAAGCACCAGCUUGCUGGUGUGGAUGAGUGGCGAACGGGUGAGUAAUACGUGAGUAACCUGCCCUUGACUCUGGGAUAAGCCCGGGAAACUGGGUCUAAUACUGGAUGCUACAUGUCACCGCAUGGUGGUGUGUGGAAAGGGUUUACUGGUCUUGGAUGGGCUCACGGCCUAUCAGCUUGUUGGUGAGGUAAUGGCUCACCAAGGCGACGACGGGUAGCCGGCCUGAGAGGGUGACCGGCCACACUGGGACUGAGACACGGCCCAGACUCCUACGGGAGGCAGCAGUGGGGAAUAUUGCACAAUGGGCGAAAGCCUGAUGCAGCGACGCCGCGUGAGGGAUGACGGCCUUCGGGUUGUAAACCUCUUUCAGCAGGGAAGAAGCCACAAGUGACGGUACCUGCAGAAGAAGCGCCGACUAACUACGUG
rnacentral:rRNA from 1 species